rfam:Poecilia formosa, whole genome shotgun sequence.
UCCUCUCUGGUCCAGUGGUUCUAGAUAGUUCAACAGCAGUCAGAUCUUGUGAAAUGUUUAGGACCACUUGAUCCGGG